CAUUCAGUUGGGCACUCUAGCGAGACUGCCGGUAAUAAACCGGAGGAAGGUGGGGAUGGACGUCAAAUCAUCAUGCCCUUAUGACCUGGGCUACACACGUGCUACAAUGGUUGGUACAACGAGUUGCGAGUCGGUGACGGCGAGCUAAUCUCUUAAAGCCAAUCUCAGUUCGGAUUGUAGGCUGCAACUCGCCUACAUGAAGUCGGAAUCGCUAGUAAUCGCGGAUCAGCACGCCGCGGUCGAAUACGUUCCCGGGCCUU
rnacentral:rRNA from 1 species